rnacentral:misc_RNA from 1 species
GAUGAAGAACGCAGCGAACGUGCGAAACGUAAUGUGAAUUGCAGAAUUCAGUGAAUCAUCGAAUCUUUGAACGCAUCUUGCGCUCCUUGGUAUUCCGAGGAGCAUGCCUGUUUGAGUGUCGUGAAAUACUCUCAAUUUCAAUCUUUUUGUUUGAAAUUGGAUUUGGAUGUUGUUGUGGAUCUUGCUACGACUCAUCCUAAAUGCAUUAGCGAUCUGCCUUGAUCACACACAAUGUGAUAAGAUGAGCAUUGUUAUAAUCAAGUCAUGACUGCUUCUAACCGUCCCUUUGGGACAAACGUCUUAUGUCGUUUGACCUCAAAUCAGGUACGACUACCCGCUGAACUUAAGCAUAUCAAUAAGCGGAGGA